rnacentral:rRNA from 1 species
UUGAUCCUGGCUCAGGAUGAACGCUGGCGGUCUGCUUAACACAUGCAAGUCGAACGCAACCUUCGGGUUGAGUGGCGGACGGGUGAGUAACGCGUGAGAAUCUGCCUUGGGGUCGGGGACAACCACUGGAAACGGUGGCUAAUACCGGAUAAGCCUUUGGGUAAAAAAUUUAUUGCCCCAAGAGGAGCUCGCGUCUGAUUAGCUAGUUGGUGAGGUAAAAGCUCACCAAGGCAGCGAUCAGUAGCUGGUCUGAGAGGACGAUCAGCCACACUGGGACUGAGACACGGCCCAGACUCCUACGGGAGGCAGCAGUGGGGAAUUUUCCGCAAUGGGCGAAAGCCUGACGGAGCAAGACCGCGUGAGGGAGGAAGGCUCUUGGGUUGUAAACCUCUUUUCUCAGGGAAGAAGCUCUGACGGUACCUGAGGAAUCAGCCUCGGCUAACUCCGUGCCAGCAGCCGCGGUAAUACGGAGGAGGCAAGCGUUAUCCGGAAUUAUUGGGCGUAAAGCGUCCGCAGGUGGCGAUUCAAGUCUGCUGUCAAAGCACGGGGCUUAACUCCGUUAAGGCAGUGGAAACUGAAUAGCUAGAGUGCCGUAGGGGUAGAGGGAAUUCCCGGUGUAGCGGUGAAAUGCGUAGAGAUCGGGAAGAACAUCGGUGGCGAAAGCGCUCUACUGGACGGCAACUGACACUCAGGGACGAAAGCUAGGGGAGCGAAUGGGAUUAGAUACCCCAGUAGUCCUAGCUGUAAACGAUGGAUACUAGGUGUAGCUUGUAUCGACCCGAGCUGUGCCGAAGCUAACGCGUUAAGUAUCCCCGCCUGGGGAGUACGCACGCAAGUGUGAAACUC